rnacentral:misc_RNA from 1 species
GCCGUAUAUUCUUCUUGCUGAUCAACGAUUAUUACAAUAUCGGGUAACCCCGUCAUAUAUUUAAUCCCGCCCAGAUAUGUUUGCAAGUGAGACUCAACUGUCUCUUCAAUCGAGCCGCAUCUCCUUUCGGAAGACGGUUGAGUCUACCUGUCUUUUGUUCCAUUCUCAAGUCCCUGAACUUUUGAAGUCUAGUUUCUGUAGUGGAACUCCCGCGGAGCCAUUUUUUAUUAACAUAAUGACACCGAGCCCUUAUUGCAGCCCGCGCUACUAAAUCCGCUGCUUUAUUUUUGGUACCAACAAUUAAGAAUUGUUUUCUCCUACUUGCUGCAUCAAAAACUAAAUCACAAGCUUCUGAUAAAAAACGAGCAGUUCUAGUAAGAUUUAUAAUAUGAAUACCUUUACGCUUUGCAGAGAUAUAAGGUGCCAUUCUCGGAUUCCAUUUUCUAGUACCAUGACCAAAAUGAACUCCUGCUUUCAUCAUCUCUUCCAAAUUAAUGUUCCAAUAUCUUCUUAUCAUUUCUCCCCACACUUCC